AACGAACGCUGGCGGCAUGCCUAACACAUGCAAGUCGAACGAGACCUUCGGGUCUAGUGGCGCACGGGUGCGUAACGCGGGGGAACCUGCCCUUAGGUUCGGAAUAACUCCCCGAAGGGGGUGCUAAUACCGGAUAAUGUCUUCGGACCAAAGAUUUAUCGCCUUUGGAUGGGCCCGCGUUGGAUUAGCUAGUUGGUAGGGUAAAAGCCUACCAAGGCGACGAUCCAUAGCUGGUCUGAGAGGAUGAUCAGCCACACUGGGACUGAGACACGGCCCAGACUCCUACGGGAGGCAGCAGUGGGGAAUAUUGGACAAUGGGCGAAAGCCUGAUCCAGCCAUGCCGCGUGAGUGAUGAAGGCCUUAGGGUUGUAAAGCUCUUUUACCCGGGAUGAUAAUGACAGUACCGGGAGAAUAAGCUCCGGCUAACUCCGUG
rnacentral:rRNA from 1 species